GGGCGAAGCCUGAUGGAGCACGCCGCGUGUGUGAUGAAGGCUUUAGGGUCGUAAAGCACUGUUGUAUGGGAAGAAAUACUAGAAUAGGGAAUGAUUCUAGUUCGACGGUACCAUACCAGAAAGGGACGGCUAAAUACGUGCCAGCAGCCGCGGUAAUACGUAUGUCCCGAGCGUUAUCCGGAUUUAUUGGGCGUAAAGCGAGCGCAGACGGUUGAUUAAGUCUGAUGUGAAAGCCCGGAGCUCAACUCCGGAAUGGCAUUGGAAACUGGUUAACUUGAGUGUUGUAGAGGUAAGUGGAACUCCAUGUGUAGCGGUGGAAUGCGUAGAUAUAUGGAAGAACACCAGUGGCGAAGGCGGCUUACUGGACAACAACUGACGUUGAGGCUCGAAAGUGUGGGUAGCAAACAGGAUUAGAUACCCUGGUAGUCCACACCGUAAACGAUGAAUACUAGGUGUUAGGAGGUUUCCGCCUCUUAGUGCCGAAGCUAACGCAUUAAGUAUUCCGCCUGGGGAGUACGACCGCAAGGUUGAA
rnacentral:rRNA from 1 species